rnacentral:misc_RNA from 1 species
GAUGAAGAACGUAGCGAAAUGCGAUACUUGGUGUGAAUUGCAGAAUCCCGUGAACCAUCGAGUCUUUGAACGCAAGUUGCGCCCGAAGCCAUUAGGCCGAGGGCACGCCUGCCUGGGUGUCACACACCGUUACCCUCGCGCCAACGUCCAUCGUUGGCCGCGGCGCGGGGCGUGCGCUGACCUCCCGCGAGCGGGGUCUCGUGGUUGGUUGAAAAUCGAGUUCGCGGUCGAGGGUGCCGUGAUGAAAUGGUGGAUGAUGAGGCCCGAGGCCAAUCACGCGCGACUCUGUCCGGCUCGGACUCCUGGACCCCUUCGGCGUCUCCGGACGCUCUUUGGCGAGACCUCAGGUCAGGCGGGGCUACCCGCUGAGUUUAAGCAUAUCAAUAAGCGGAGGA